GAUUUCUGGUAUGGUGCGCUUGGUCCGCCCCGUUUCAGGUGUGUGAGUACCGAUGCGCACCUACCAUCCUUCUGGGGAGUGUGCCUACCCUUCACUGUGGCCGGGUACACGACCUAGAUCGUUUACUUUGAAAAAAUUAGAGUGUUUAAAGCAGGCUUAUUGCUCUGAAUACAUUAGCAUGGAAUAAUAAGAUAGGACUUUGGUUCUAUUUUGUUGGUUUCUAGGACUGAAGUAAUGAUUGAUAGGGAUAGUUGGGGGUGCUAGUAUUCAACGGCCAGAGGUGAAAUUCUUGGAUUCGUUGAAGACUAACUUAUGCGAAAGCAUU
rnacentral:rRNA from 1 species